rnacentral:rRNA from 1 species
UGUGGUGGCGAUAGCGAAAAGGAUACACCUGUUCCCAUGCCGAACACAGCAGUUAAGCUUUUCAGCGCCGAGAGUAGUUGGGGUUUCCCCUGUGAGGGUAGGACGUUGCCACGC